rnacentral:rRNA from 1 species
CGGGACGGGUGAGUAAUGUCUGGGAAACUGCCUGAUGGAGGGGGAUAACUACUGGAACGGUAGCUAAUACCGCAUAACGUCGCAAGACCAAGAGGGGGACCUUCGGGCCUCUUGCCAUCGGAUGUGCCCAGAUGGGAUUAGCUAGUAGGUGGGGUAACGGCUCACCUAGGCGACGAUCCCUAGCUGGUCUGAGAGGAUGACCAGCCACACUGGAACUGAGACACGGUCCAG